rfam:Schistosoma margrebowiei strain Zambia genome assembly, scaffold: SMRZ_contig0003055
AGAUUUUCAAAUUCGUGCAGAGAUUUUGUCAGACACCGAUCCAUUAGGGCUGAUCAGACUCCCAAGAUAAGUGAAGUU